CUCAUCUCCUCUCCUCUCUGAACCUCCAAUUUGUUCAUCGGUAACAUGGGGAUUAUGGGAACUCUUCGGAGAGGCCCCGGUGAGGAUCAAAUAAGGGAACGUCUAUUCCAGAAACGUCACUUGGAGAGCACAAGCCUUUACCGACACAUCCAGCCUGGCUGCAGAAGAAAGGAUUAAACAUCUCCGUAUGAAAAUGGAACGCAGCGAGUAAGAGGCUUUAAUAAGGUGGAUUAUACUGAUGUGAGCGGAGAGGAAACCCCCAGCCGCGCUGAGAGGGGCCGCAGACUUUUCCGGCAGAUUUCUCCAAAGCAGGGCUUUUCAACCUUGAGGAGCUUUGAAAAUGCCUCACCCCUGGGCCUCCAUAUAGACCGCAAGCCCAGGGCAUUGGAAUUUUUUAAAGCUCUCGGUUAAUUCUCACUGGCACCCGGGGUUGAAAACUGCUCCUCUGAAAUACUGUGGACCCACCGAAGAAGAGAAAGCGGACAUCUGGAACACAGGGAAGCCUUGAUUUAUGCUGGAGUCACCAGGAUGCGGGCCCACGGAAAAAUUUCCUCCUGGCAGAAUUUAGGUUUUAAACUCUCCAACAGGACUGCUCUCUCCUCUGACCGUUCACCUCACCUGCGUCCUGGACCCCUACUUUGCAAUGACCAUCGUCUGCCUGAAUCACACCGUCACUCCCCCCCCCCCACCCCCGCUGAGGAUUCCCUGAGGAUAACCGGUGUGGCAUUUCAUCUCCUGGAGGCCAGUGUGGAGUCUCAGAAAAAGCAUGUGCUUUGGCACGAAUCCUCCCAGCGAGCCAAAGAGAUGACUAAGCGGAGGAGGCUCAGAGAGGUGAAGACAGUUGUCCCUGGUCACCCAGCUAGCGAGUGCUGGGCUGGGGUCUGAACCCCUCUCACCACCAACUGGUACUUGUUCCUCUGCCAUAUCACUUGGGCUUCUGCAUAGUUUUCCUUUGGAGAAAGGGAUAGACAGCUCAAAAAUAAUUGGAAACCAGCGCACCAGACCAAGCGAAGUCCGGGGCUCGUGCCUGGCGGAUCGGCGUGUGAUAAGAGAGCUGCCCCGAGUCUCAGCUCGGAUGUUGGCCCACAGCCCUACUGUGGCCGGCCCCUGACUAGACCUGUCCUCAUCCCACUGACGAACUCAGAGGGGGCUGCCCAGGGCUGGGCAAGCGCUGCCUCCUGCGAUCUACUGGAACCGUCUACCAGAGCCAUGCCCAGGGCCAGGCGGGCUCUCCUCCCAGAUGGCCCUGGUCUGAAUCUGCUGGGACUUCAAGUCUGCACUGGGGAGCUCAGUGCUCCACUUGAGGCAGCAGGACACAGCUCUGCCCCUGUGACUCCUUUUACGCUGUGUAAUUGCCCUCAGCCUCCCGGGAAACUGAGGGAAUGGACUGAGCAGCGACUGCGUACCAGACCGACCCUCGGCGCUUUUUGUCAUAUUUAAUCGGUAUCACAAUCCUAGAAGGUGGAGUGUAAUCAUCCGUGUCUCACACAUGGGGUCGAGAACUCAGAGUCACGGAGAGCAAGUGGAAUCAGGACUUGAUCCCAGUCUCCCACUCCAGACACCAAGGCUCUUUCUACCACCUCAACAUUCUUGGGGGCCUCAGAAGAGGAUCCCAUCCCAUUUCCAGGGGGCACGCAAACUGUUGCUUGGGGACAAAGCUGGGACUAUGCCAGGAUUCUGGACUCCCCCAAAACGCCUUCUAGGGAUAAAAUGAUAUUUCUUAUUGACCUUAUGUUAGAACAACUUGGCUAGAAGAAGACCUGUUGGUUCAAAGAGUUCAACCAUUGCCCCCCUGCCCCCAACCUUACUCCAUAUGCUGGUGAAGAACAUAGACAUGUACUCCUUUGGUCGCCAAGGAUACGGCAAUCUAAUGUGAUAUCUCCCCAGCAGGAAUGGUCCCGGUACUGGUCAGACAGGUGGAACAGCCCUUCUCUGCCCGUCUCAUGGGUUGGCAGCUAAUCCUGAAAUCAGCUUGUGAUCCACUCUCAGGGCUCCUUGUGUCUUAAAUGGGACUCUUGAGAACCAAGAGCCUUCAAAAUCAUGGAUGAAUCCUGAAUC